CAUUACAGAGUUAUCUAAACUCCCAAACCCAUGUGAACAUACCUCGCGUUGCCUCGGCAGGUGGCGUCCUACCCCGUGAUACCUACCCUGUAGGACCUACCCGGUAGGCGACCCUGCCGACGGCCCCCGAAACUCUGUUUUUAUAGCAUUGGACUUCUGAAAAGAUAACUAAAUAAGUUAAAACUUUCAACAACGGAUCUCUUGGUUCUGGCAUCGAUGAAGAACGCAGCGAAAUGCGAUAAGUAAUGUGAAUUGCAGAAUUCAGUGAAUCAUCGAAUCUUUGAACGCACAUUGCGCCCACUAGUAUUCUGGUGGGCAUGCCUGUUCGAGCGUCAUUUCAACCCUUAAGCCCCCGUUGCUUAGUGUUGGGAGCCUACUGGAACUCUCCUGUAGCUCCCCAAAGUCAGUGGCGGAGCCGGUUCGCACUCCAGACGUAGUAGCUUUUACACAUCGCCUGUAGCUUGGACCCGGUCCCCUGCCGUAAAACACCCCCCAAUUUUAUAGGUUGACCUCGGAUCAGGUAGGAAUACCCGCUGAACUUAAGCAUAUCAAUAAG
rnacentral:rRNA from 1 species